GGAGGGGGUACCUCCCAUGACCUCCUGCGCCCUGUCUUGCGGGAUGACGUGGCGCAGGAGGGCACAGUGUGACUGCCUGCGCCAGGAUGCUGGAACUCAGGCCAUAGGCAAAGACAGAGAGAGAAUUACAGAAACGAGAUAUGACUGGAAGAAAUAAUCAUUGAGGUCUGAUCUCCGAAAGGAGAAGAUGAGGAAUGAGAACAUCUACAUCAGAGGAGACGUCACUGGAUGUAAGAGGAUUACAGGAGUCUUGUAUGGUGCAACUUUCAUCAAAAUACAUCCUCUGCGAUCCUAGUCUCACCUCACUAUCCCCUAGCCAGAGAUGCCAUGUCCAGAAGCUAUUGUUCUAAAUUACCAGGUCACAAGUAAGUCGCAAUCUCACUCCAGGAGGAGGGUGGAGUAUGGAAAGUGGAGAAGUUGUUCCAGACAAGAGUAUUAGCUUUAAGGAUGAGCCAAAUAUAUCAAACAACCUGUGACAUUGUGUGAUAAAUGUGGCAUAGAGUACUCCAACACAGACUCAAGCAAAACUGACUUCAAAUAUUCUCCUCAUAAUAAAUUCCCCCUAUGUACA